rnacentral:rRNA from 1 species
GACGAACGCUGGCGGCGUGCUUAACACAUGCAAGUCGAGCGGAAAGGCCCUUCGGGGUACUCGAGCGGCGAACGGGUGAGUAACACGUGAGUAACCUGCCCCAGACUUUGGGAUAACCCUCGGAAACGGGGGCUAUACCGGAUACGACACAGCUUCGCAUGGGGUCUGUGUGGAAAGUUUUUCGGUUUGGGAUGGGCUCGCGGCCUAUCAGCUUGUUGGUGGGGUGAUGGCCUACCAAGGCGACGACGGGUAGCCGGCCUGAGAGGGCGACCGGCCACACUGGGACUGAGACACGGCCCAGACUCCUACGGGAGGCAGCAGUGGGGAAUAUUGCACAAUGGGCGGAAGCCUGAUGCAGCGACGCCGCGUGAGGGAUGACGGCCUUCGGGUUGUAAACCUCUUUCAGCAGGGACGAAGCGUAAGUGACGGUACCUGCAGAAGAAGCGCCGGCCAACUACGUG